AUUUCCCCAGCCUGUGACUGAUGCCCGAAGCUGCCAUUGCCAGAAGUGACCAUUGAGAGCUUACCGUGACAUCAGAGCAAAUGAGCCAAUGGCAUCACCAGAGUCAGUAGAGAAGUCAAGAGACUAAGGAGGAGAUUGCAAGAGUGAAAAGGGCAGAGGAUAAAAUGGGGAAACUGCAGCAGCAACACAGCCUGCAUUAUAAAGGAGCCAAGAAGUUAUUUUUGGAAAUUCAAAAUUUUGUCUCAGGCAAAAGUAUAGUCCCUUUAGUUUCCCUUGGGGAGCGGAAGAGAAACAACAGUUGAGAAAACACACAAAUUGGCUGCACUAUAAGUGUUGAGGUCCAAGGUCAUUUCCAGUUUCCCAGAAGAAAAAGAAUGUCAAACAUAUCGCCUUUUGGCUUUGGCAGCAUCCUGGAUCCUUCUGUCAUUAAAUCAAAGCAAAAAGGAGACUGCAGCCGGUCAGAAGUUGAACUUAGCUUCUCAGUAGGAGUAAGGCAAGGAAUUUUAAGUAUUUUUUUCUUUAAAUGGACUUGCUGAUUUAAGCUGCCCACCUCCCUGCAUGAUUUCCCCCCCCCACUUUACCUAAAUUAUUACUGAUACUGGUUUUGCAUUACACUUUCAGUGAAGAAAAAUUACAAGUACUGUAGUUGUGUUGGUCCAUGAGGGGGCAGACAAUCGUGUGAUGCUGCUAGAAUCGACUAAAAAGUCACAAGGAAGUGAGCAAGCUUUCAGAUUCAUCAACAAAGAGGCUGAAACUUAAGCAUAAAGGCAACAGCAGCAACUGCUGAGCAGGAUGAAAAAGGCCUAAUCUGCAGUUUGUCUUGAAAUGGAAUUGGAUGAGCCAGGGGGGAACGUUAUAUGUACCAAUGGUGCAAUCCCAUAUAUAUUUAUCAAAAGCAAGUUGCACUGUGUUCAUUGGGGCUCACUCCAUGGAAAGUGCGGCUAUGGUAUUGCAAUCUUAAUUAGGCUAAGUUGUGCUUUCUGAAAAAAAGAUCUCAGGUUGCAUCUGAGAAUACAGCAGAGACAGCAAACAUGGCCACAACGCUGAUGGGCUUCCGGCAUAUGGUAAAGACUUAUUUGUUCUCCAAAGCUUUUGGAGGCCAUAUUUAAGUUUAAGUUUACUUUUUUCAGGCCCUAGAUUUUCUGUAUUUUAUAUUGCUUGAUGUUGUUUUACUGCCAGUUUUUAACUGUCUUUUAAUUGUUUUUGUAACACUUACUGAUAUGUUUUGUUUUGAUA